UAUUAAAAAAUAUUUUUAAAAAAUACUCAAAUAGAUAAAAAUCAGAAAUGAGACAGAAGGCAUUACAACUGAUAACACAGAAAUAGUAAGGAUCAUAAGAAACUACUAUGAACAAUUACAUGCCAACAACUAGAUAACCUAGAAAAUGAAUAAAUCCCUAAAUGCAUAUAACCUAUCAAA